rnacentral:pre_miRNA from 1 species
AAUCUGCUCCCUCCGUCCGAAAAAGCUUGUCCCUCAAAUGGAUGUAUCUACCAUCAAGUUAGUGCUAGAUACAUCCAUUUGAGGGACAAGCUUUUUUGGACGGAGGGAGUACAAG